rnacentral:rRNA from 1 species
UACGUAGGGGGCUAGCGUUGUCCGGAUUUAUUGGGCGUAAAGAGCGCGUAGGCGGCCAGGUAGGUCUGGUGUGAAAACUCGAGGCUUAACCUCGAGAUGUCAUCGGAAACCAUCUGGCUAGAGUCCGGAAGAGGAGAGUGGAAUUCCUGGUGUAGCGGUGAAAUGCGCAGAUAUCAGGAAGAACACCAAUGGCGAAAGCAGCUCUCUGGGACGGUACUGACGCUGAGACGCGAAAGCGUGGGGAGCGAACAGG